UACGUAGGGGGCAAGCGUUGUCCGGAAUCAUUGGGCGUAAAGCGCGUGUAGGCGGCCCGGAAAGUCUGGUGUGAAAUCUUGGGGCUCAACCCUAAGCUGUCACUGGAUACUAUCGGGCUUGAGUCUGGAAGAGGAGUGUGGAAUUCCUGGUGUAGCGGUGGAAUGCGCAGAUAUCAGGAGGAACACCGAUGGCGAAGGCAGCACCUCUGGUACAUGACUGACGCUGAGACGCGAAGCGUGGUAGCAACAGGAUAGAUAC
rnacentral:rRNA from 1 species